rnacentral:rRNA from 1 species
UACGUAGGGGGCAAGCGUUGUCCGGAGUUACUGGGCGUAAAGCGCACGCAGGCGGUCUCUUAAGUUUGGCGUGACAGUUGGUGGCUUAACUGCCAAAGUGCUUCGAAAACUGAGAGACUUGAGGGCUUCAGAGGGACACGGAAUUCCGGGUGGAGUGGUGAAAUGCGUAGAGAUCCGGAGGAACACCGAAGGCGAAGGCAGUGUCCUGGGGAGUACCUGACGCUCAGGUGCGAAAGCCAGGGGAGCGAACGGG